rnacentral:misc_RNA from 1 species
AACGAGGCCGACCUGCGGCUGAGUUACCUGCGGAGGGAUCAUUACCGAGUGCGGGUCCGCGUGGCCCAACCUCCCACCCGUGCCUAUUGUACCCUGUUGCUUCGGCGGGCCCGCCAGCCUUCGGGCUGGCCGCCGGGGGGCGUCUCGCCCCCGGGCCCGUGCCCGCCGGAGACCCCAACAUGAACCCUGUUCUGAAAGCUUGGUGUCUGAGUGUGAUUGUUUGCAAUCAGUUAAAACUUU